UCUAUACGGUGAAACUGCGAAUGGCUCAUUAAAUCAGUUAUCGUUUAUUUGAUAGUACCUUACUACAUGGAUACCCGUGGUAAUUCUAGAGCUAAUACAUGCUAAAAACCUCGACUUCGGAAGGGGUGUAUUUAUUAGAUAAAAAACCAAUGCCCUUCGGGGCUCCUUGGUGAUUCAUAAUAACUUCUCGAAUCGCAUGGCCUUGCGCCGGCGAUGGUUCAUUCAAAUUUCUGCCCUAUCAACUUUCGAUGGUAGGAUAGUGGCCUACCAUGGUGGCAACGGGUAACGGGGAAUUAGGGUUCGAUUCCGGAGAGGGAGCCUGAGAAACGGCUACCACAUCCAAGGAAGGCAGCAGGCGCGCAAAUUACCCAAUCCCGAUACGGGGAGGUAGUGACAAUAAAUACUGAUACAGGGCUCUUUCGGGUCUUGUAAUUGGAAUGAGUACAAUUUAAAUCCCUUAACGAGGAACAAUUGGAGGGCAAGUCUGGUGCCAGCAGCCGCGGUAAUUCCAGCUCCAAUAGCGUAUAUUAAAGUUGUUGCAGUUAAAAAGCUCGUAGUUGAACCUUGGGCCUGGCUGGCCGGUCCGCCUCACGGCGUGCACUGGUCCGGCCGGGUCUUUCCUUCUGGGGAGCCCCAUGGCCUUCACUGGCUGUGGGGGGAACCAGGACUUUUACUGUGAAAAAAUUAGAGUGUUCAAAGCAGGCCUUUGCUCGGAUACAUUAGCAUGGAAUAAUAGAAUAGGACGUGCGGUUCUAUUUUGUUGGUUUCUAGGACCGCCGUAAUGAUUAAUAGGGAUGGUCGGGGGCGUCAGUAUUCGGCUGUCAGAGGUGAAAUUCUUGGAUUUGCCGAAGACUAACUACUGCGAAAGCAUUCGCCAAGGAUGUUUUCAUUAAUCAGUGAACGAAAGUUAGGGGAUCGAAGACGAUCAGAUACCGUCGUAGUCUUAACCAUAAACUAUGCCGACUAGGGAUCGGACGGUGUUUAUAUGAUGACCCGUUCGGCACCUUACGAGAAAUCAAAGUUUUUGGG
rnacentral:rRNA from 1 species